rnacentral:rRNA from 1 species
AUCCUGGCUCAGGAUGAACGCUAGCGGCAGGCUUAACACAUGCAAGUCGAGGGGCAGCAUGAGGGUUAGCAAUAACCCUUGAUGGCGACCGGCGCAAGGGUGCGUAACGCGUGAGCAACUUGCCCGUUUCAGGGGGAUAACCGGUGGAAACGCCGACUAAUACCCCAUAGCAUUGAUUUAAGGCAUCUUUUAUCAAUUAAAGAAUUUCGGAAACGGAUAGGCUCGCGUGACAUUAGCUUGAUGGCGGGGUAACGGCCCACCAUGGCGACGAUGUCUAGGGGUUCUGAGAGGAAGGUCCCCCACACUGGAACUGAGACACGGUCCAGACUCCUACGGGAGGCAGCAGUGAGGAAUAUUGGUCAAUGGUCGAGAGACUGAACCAGCCAUGCCGCGUGAAGGUCACGGCCCUAUGGGUCUUAAACUUCUUUUGCAAGGGAGCAAUAAGUCCCACGUGUGGGAUGAUGAGAGUACCUUGCGAAUAAGCAUCGGCUAACUCCGUG